GGUUCUAUGGUGUAAUGGUUAGCACUCUGGACUUUGAAUCCAGCGAUCUGAGUUCAAAUCUCGGUAGAACCU
rfam:Lucilia cuprina strain LS Scaffold52, whole genome shotgun sequence.